AUUGAACGCUGGCGGCAGGCCUAACACAUGCAAGUCGAACGAGUGGCGGACGGGUGAGUAAUGUCUGGGAAACUGCCUGAUGGAGGGGGAUAACUACUGGAAACGGUAGCUAAUACCGCAUACCAUCGGAUGUGCCCAGAUGGGUUUAGCUAGUAGGUGGGGUAAAGGCUCACCUAGGCGACGAUCGCUAGCUGGGCUGCGAGGAUGACCAGCCACACUGGAACAGAUCCACGGUCCAGACGCCUCCGGGAGGCAGCAGUGGGGAAUAUUGCACAAUGGGCGCAAGCCUGCUGCAGCCAUGCCGCGUGAAUGAAGAAGGCCUUCGGGUUGUAAAGGUCAUUCAGCGGGGAGGCGUUACCCGCAGAAGAAGCACCGGCUAACGCCGUGCCAGCCGCCGCGGUAAUAC
rnacentral:rRNA from 1 species